rfam:Gossypium arboreum cultivar AKA8401 contig_309058_1, whole genome shotgun sequence.
AUAACGGCGUUUUUUAUAAAAACGCCACAAAAAAAUGCAAUAAAAAAAGUGG